rnacentral:rRNA from 1 species
AUUGAACGCUGGCGGCAUGCCUUACACAUGCAAGUCGAACGGCAGCACGGGAGCAAUCCUGGUGGCGAGUGGCGAACGGGUGAGUAAAGUAUCGGAACGUGCCCAGUCGUGGGGGAUAACGUAGCGAAAGUUACGCUAAUUCCGCAUACGAUCUAUGGAUGAAAGCGGGGGAUCGCACGACCUCGCGCGAUUGGGGCGGCCGAUAUCAAAUUAGGUAGUUGGCGGGGUAAAGGCUCACCAAGCCGACGAUCUGUAGCUGGUCUGAGAGGACGAACAGUCACACUGGGACUGAGACACGGCCCAGACUCCUACGGGAGGCAGCAGUGGGGAAUUUUGGACAAUGGGCGAAAGCCUGAUCCAGCCAUGCCGCGUGCAGGAUGAAGGCCUUCGGGUUGUAAACUGCUUUUGUACGGAACGAAAAGGUUUGGCCUAAUAAGCUGAGCUCAUGACGGUACCGUAAGAAUAAGCACCGGCUAACUACGUGCCAGCCGCCGCGGUAA